rnacentral:sRNA from 1 species
AUUCUAGUGCAUUUAGUUGAAUUGAACGUGUUGAAUUGCAUUUUAACAAAAGAAAUCUACUAAUAAUACUCAUUAUAAUUAGUGGGUAGAAUUACUAGAAUAAAGAAGAAAUUGUCGCAUUGUUUUGAUGUUUAUAAUCAACAAGGAGUGAUUUUUCCACCUACGACGACUUCAUUAGGGCCAUCCGGGAUGGAAUAAGGAGAGCCAAAAAUAAAAAUUAUAAGGAAAAAUCCAAAAAAAACAAAGAAAAUU